rnacentral:rRNA from 1 species
AAAGCUGUGCUAAUACCGCAUACGCCCUGAGGGGGAAAGCGGGGGACCGAAAGACCUCGCGCGAUUAGAGCGGCCGAUGCCUGAUUAGCUAGUUGGUGGGGUAAAAGCCCACCAAGGCGACGAUCAGUAGCUGGUCUGAGAGGACGAUCAGCCACACUGGGACUGAGACACGGCCCAGACUCCUACGGGAGGCAGCAGUGGGGAAUUUUGGACAAUGGGGGCAACCCUGAUCCAGCAAUGCCGCGUGAGUGAAGAAGGCCUUCGGGUUGUAAAGCUCUUUUGUCAGGGAAGAAACACCGGCUCUAACACAGUCCGGGAAUGACGGUACCUGAAGAAUAAGCACCGGCUAACUACGUGCCAGC